CACUCGGUGCUAAAUUCAGUUUUAGAGAGCGGAGUGGCUUCAAAUUGAGGU
rfam:Avibacterium paragallinarum JF4211, WGS project CBMK01000000 data, contig: 18-3-45-14-71-52